ensembl:lncRNA
CCCCCAUCCGCUCCCCACACCCAUACCCCUCCUGUUCACUCAUAUCCCUCCCCCUUUUCCCCAUGUUCCAACGUCAGAGAGGCGCAUAACCCACUUAGGUUAUUCUCGAAAUACUUCACAACAUACAGUGUUCCCACCGCAAAUUGGAGUAGAGGCAAAAGUACUGGAACCAGAAAGCUGAGGUUGUGAACUGCGAUGCAAAAAACAAAACAAAAGUGGGUCUCCUAAUUUAACCCACAGAAAGCGAUAACCUUCCUGUGCACUCCAGCUGCACUGUGCCGCACACGGCCCAACACACCCUGUGUGAUGGGACUCGCGCUCGUCUCCAACAGCCUCCUCCUUCCUGCCUUUGAGUCCGUUAAUGAGAAUGAGAAUGUGAGGAUCAGUGCAGUUACGAGAUGAGAGAAAAAAACACACCUCGCUCGCUCACCAUCUAACCUGAGGUCUGCGUGUCGUCCUCCGGCAAGCCGGUGUGUUUACUGUACACGGGGAGGUGAAGCUGUAUGAAAACCAGAGCUGACUCCAUGUUCCUCUAACACGCGCACACGGGCUGCUAUCUGAGACCUUGAAAAGUCUGCCUGCAGGCCGUCGCCCCGCAAACAGGUGAUGCCGAUGUGACAACCCGGCAACAAGAGACACGGCUCCUUCCUUUUGCUCUCCUUCUAUUAAUCUUUACUUUACCUCCCGUGUUGUCGCAGCUCCUCUGCCUUGUGCCCCACACCUCCACCACCUCCCUCUUCCUUCAUUCUGUCCCGUUUUCUUUCCCCUCUGCCUCGGUUUUCUGCGUCCCUUUCGCCCUUUUAGGCCCUAAGGUGCACAUUGACGUCAGAGGAUUAGUUACACUAUUUCCCUAAACAUGAACUGCAGCAGGUGCAUCGGAAAUUCCCCCCCUAGUCUUCGCUUUUUAUGUGGUGGAGGUCACCUUUUGAUUUUUGAGACAGUGUAAAGUCAAACUACGGAAAAAGAGAACGCGAGUAGAGUUGCGUCUGUGACCCGGAUACGUAUACUAAACAUUAACCGCCAGCCGCCAUUGGUGCAACAGCUCGUUGUCCCAGAGUGCACCACUGCUCCUCCUCUGUGCAGCGACCCAGCCCGUCCUCUGGCCGAUGCAAUCGAAUAUGAAACCAGCUUGUGCAAACAACUUGGCCGUGUUAUCGGUGCCGUUUUCCUCCACUCACUCCCUCCUCUUCCUCCCUCAACCGGCUACUUUCUCUUCUAUUUCAUUCUGGCACCAGAGAAAACGACAAAGGUGAUUUAGAUCCCUCUGUAUUCAGAUGCUGCUCGGCGAGAUCGAUCCUCUGCGUGACGUUCAGGUGUGCGUGCGUGUGUGUGUGUGUGUGAGGUGAAUAGAGGCAUCUUUGUUGGUUGCAGGUGUGUGCUUGUGCCAGGCAGGCUUCAGCGGAGGAUCCGGAGAACAAUGGCUCUGUGUUGGAGGACACACCUGAGAGAGAGAGACGGGAGGUGAGAGGGCCUGAUCGCAGGGAGAUUACACAAGAGCAGACUUCAUGAAACCUGAAUGGGGGUAGAGAGAGAGGGAGGGGGGUGUAACGGAGAGAUAGAGGGAAGGAGGGGAGGGAGGGAUUUAAAAAAAAAAGGUGCAGGAACGUAGAGGGGAAAUAGAGCAAAAUGGAGGGAGAGACAGAAGAGCUAAAUACCAGAGGAGUCGGGGGGCAGAGGACGGAAAUGGAGGUUGGAGGGUUUGAUACUCAAAGUGGUGAAUGAAAACUAGUAUAUGAGGACAGAGGAGUCAAGUUUACCAUCAAUGAAAAGAAGGUGCAACAAUUUGACUCCAUCUACGUCAGAAGCCUGUGGCCCUUUGGCGUGAUGAAGGCGGAGGAGACACAAACAUCAAACCAUCAUGAUGGUUGAACCAUCAAAUGUUCAGAUGAGGAAGCAACAAUAACAGCAUAGUUGCCAAACUUCCGCUCAUUUGACCCUGAUUGAUUUGUUUAGACACUUACAAAAAAGCGACAUCCUUAUGAAGCUUAUUUACUCGAAGAAAUGACAACAUUUUUCUUGUUCCAAACAAAUGUCUCUAUCCACCAAGACACAAGGAACAUAAAUCAGUUCCUAAAGGGUUCCUUUGAAAGACUUUCGUGCUUCAGUUAGACUGAGUAAAGAAAUUGAGAUCUGGUUAGUUAAACCAACACAAUGACUGAGAAGAUACUAAAAUGUUCUAUUAUGUGGUUUGUUAAACCCCUACAGGCGAAGAGAGAAUUUCAAGUUGAUCAGUUAACUUUUCAGCUUGUAAACCGUCAAGUUUGGCCGUAAAUGACGACCUAAAGCUAAUUCCGCCACAAGGUCAGGGCCGACGUAAGUAUCAGUGGGUGGCGUUUGUGAUCAUUUAUGUGUAAUCAUCACAGUUGCGUCUCCCCGUCCAAUUUACUCACCAUGUUCUUCCUUUUUUUCAUUGUUUUGCUGCAUAUCAGCAUACAACCAAAUUGCAUUGCAUGAACGUUGGCUUUAUGUUUGCCAAGAGAUCGUCAAACAUGCUCUCUUACAAUAGCCCAACAAUUUACACACAAUAUAGAGAAAGUAAAACAACAAAGAUUUAGUCAAAGCAUCUCUGGAUGGUUUAAAACAAACCAAGUCACCAACUGGCCAACUACUAGAAUGUGACAACAACCAAUAAAUAACAGAGGGUAGACCAAUACAGAUAUAUGACAUGUCAAAACAUCUGGAGUGAAAAGGUUUAUAACAAUACGCUUACAAGACUUGAAAUGUAUUUUCGAUUCGGUAAUUAAGAUGCAUUCUGCAUAUUGAUGUCAUCCUCUUUCAGGUCAACUCACACAUUAGUGAGCAAAUGUGUCUUGUAGCAAGUCAAGUAUAUCAUGAAUUACUCUGAACGUGAAGACAACGAUUACAAGAGAAAAAUGAAGUCUUACUCAAAGGCUUUUGUCACUAAUUGAUGACAUGUUCACGGGUGAGUUGGAUGAGAAGGAGGAGACGUGGUGACAAGACGACAAAGAGCACUGCGUAGAAAAACUUACUGAGAGUAAACUCGCUCCUCAUUUCCCUCCUCAUCUCCCUCUCCAUCCUCCCAACAUCCCUCCAUCCUGCCGCUCCCUCUGCAAAAGUUCAGAAAGUCAAAGCAUUUUUACUUUCACACGAGAUGAGCGCUGUUUCUGUCUCAACUCCUCAAACAUGAAACACAAAUGGUAUGUAAAUGUCGUCUUUGAUUCUGUUUAAUGUAUCCGCGGAACGAGGUGCAAAGAAUAAAAGCGUCUUCUCCUCUCCGCCUAUCAGGCGUUGCGGUACACCUUUACAGGACAGUGGACCCCCUGCUGCGCGGAUAAUAGGAGGAAAUUGUUUUGCUAUGAGAUGAAGUGAUAAAAGGAAAAAUAUGAUUUUUCAAAGACUUCGCCGCUCCUCUUCAGCGCCCUGCGCUGGAGCGCAUGAGAGAGAAAUUGUCGAGCACUAAUUGAGUGAUGGCUGAUUGUUGAAGCGUUCAUCUUUGAUGUUUUUCUCCCUUUUUUCUUGGCAUGUUAAUGAAACAUCAAGAAAGUGGCGGAUGUUUUGCAGUAAAUCAGGAGGAAGUUUGAUGGAGGAUAGUUUGGAUUUGUGUCUCCAUGGAUGUCUGUGUAUCAGUGGACACGCUGAGCAGAGGAAUUGACCUCUUUCACAUCGGACAUUUGGGCUUGUCGUAGGAAGGGAAAGUAGUAAUAACAAAGGCACAAGUGUAAUUGAUAAUAUUUAGGUGCUUUCCAUUUAGGAGAGUGAGGUCCCAGCUCCUGUCCUCGUGCACACUGACUCAAUGUCACUGAUUCAUGUGAAACUUGAUGGAGUCAUUGCCGAAAAAGUGUAGUUCAGCUGGAUUUUUCAAAAUGUUUGCAUUUAAAAAAGGACUAACAAUGCAAUCAAGGAAUAAAAACACAGAACACAAAUUUCAAUUUUUGUGUCACAUUCCAGGAACCAAAAGGCUAAAUAGAAUUUAAUCCCUUCAGAAACCGUCUGCCAUGGAGGUUGUAAAUGCAACAACAGUGGAAACAGUUGUUGGAUAAUGUCCAUUUGGUAGUUUUCUGGCACACACACACACACACGCACGCAUGCGCACACACACACAUGCACUCUCUCUCUCUCCAUGUGAUUGUCUGUUGUUUUUUGGUACUAGACUUGUAAUUGUAUAAUAGUAGUUGUUCUUUAAAAUAGUAUUGACCUGGAUAAUACCAGGAUAUUGUGGCCUGUGCUCAAAUUCAAAGCUUUUGAAUUCUUAAUGUGCAGUAGUGCUUUGACCAUGUGUCGAAUCCGAGUGAGACUUGAUUCAAAGUUUGGUUAUUAGUCCCUGAUGUCAGGUGGGUGUCUUAUUAUUAUUAUUAUCAACAUUAAUUAAUAACCUUGUUUACAGUAAUGUAUUUAAUAAAGCGAGAGGUUUAAGUAAUAUAUAUUAUGAAAAGAUUUUACAUUGAAACUAUUGCAGCCCAAUGACUAAAAAAUGUUUACUUUGUCAGUCAGUAUCAUUUUCGAAUAGAUGCCUUACCACUGCACUUGAACUGCUUAUAUCCACACCAACAAAGACUGUAUGUGACGAGGCUGGUCGGCCCCAUCCAGCUGCGCUUGACAGCAGAGCACACAUGAAAGCAAGGGAUGGAGGGAUGGAGUGGUGAGAGCACAGAGAAACGCAAGAGAUGAACAGAAACACACACUGGGAUCCUGCUGUUCACAGCAGCAGGUGCAAAGGGAAAGGGGGAUGGUGGUGGGGGGGGCGACAUAUGGGUAGCAUUCACUGAAUCAAACUCAGUCCCUAUCAACCAAUGAGAUGGCGUCCCAGCAUGGUUCCCAUGCUCGUUACCACGAGGCUUUCGUUAGGAUCCAUCAGCUCUGGACAGAGGGAGAGAGGCAGAAAAGACAACAGCAACCACAGCAGAAAGGCACAAACUUUCCUCCUUGCUGCCCACCGUGUGAAGGUAAAACAAAAUGCAUGGACAGAAGCGAGUUGCUGUCAAUUACAUACAUUACAUGUUAGAAAAAUAUAUAUUUUUUUACCUCGUUGAAAACUGUGAAAGCAGCAUUUUCCAGUAGCAUGCUGUAGGUAUUUUAUGCUGUUGGAAAAUGUGAUCAUAUGGACACUGACUGAAUGCUUGCAGAACUGCUCUGCAGCAAAGGUUUCGGAGAAGAAUUGAACUCGAGAAAGAUUAAAAAAAACAGUAGCUUUCUUGUUUAAAAAAAAUAAAUAGAAGUGGGUUUAUUUACACGUGAAUAGGUUGCAGAAAGUAUAACCUUAGUCAUUGGUUACUGUGUUGUUUUAUGGUGUAAAAUGGGUUGAGUAAGCGACUGAAUCGGCGCCUGCACUCCCCCGAGCUCGCCUGUACCCCAACAAAGAUUCCUCAAAAAGCCCCAGAGUAGGGUAGAGGGAGCGGGGAAUAUAUCAAAUUACAGUACAUCAGUCUUGAGCAGAGGCAUCUUUCUUGAAGACUGGGCGUUGACAGACAGCCAGAGAACAGGCAAUGGAGGCUCGCUGAGGAUCUCUGCCUUUGAUGAGACAUAACAAUAUCCAAAUCCCCGACCGCCUCUUAUUUAAGUUACUGAGGACUCUAAAAAAGGGGAGUUCUUCCAAAGUCGCUCAGAAGCUUGAGCGCUUCAUAGGUGAAGGGAGGGAAUGGAGGGAGCAAGAUGUAGAAGGGUGGGGGAAAGAAGAUAAUGUUUAUGCAUUAGAUUUUCAAAGCACUUUUUUCUGCAAGGAAAUUCAGAUUCAAAGGUGUACUUCUUGCAGGAAGAUCUAAAGGAUUCAUUCUCCCUCUCCCUGUUAUUGCGCGAGUGACAAAGUCUCUCUGUAGCUUAGCCAGGACUUUGUAUGCACAUGGUAACUGAGCGUGAGUAGGCCCUACAUAGCUAAAGUACAUCCACCAAGGGGGAUUGAGUGAUGUGUAAGUGUAUAAUUUUUAUAUAAUAUUUUCUACGCUCAAGCUACAUUUUUGACAUCAAAGAGAACAGUAACGCUAAAGCAACUCCUUGGCUAGGCAAUCAAAUGGCACUGUUAACGCGAGUCGAGCCCUCUGUCGCCUACAAGCGAUGCCACUGUGCUCACAAAGGAGGCUGAACCGCGUAUUGCCGCUUAUCAAUCCAAACUCAAACUCAUCGCAGCAACAUUAGCUGGGACUUUUAAAAAGAACUUGCAAAGUUGAGAGGCAGAGCACUUUGAACGAGCUGAAGGAGCGGAGAUACGUGUGUGUGUGUGUGUCUGUGUGGAUGCUUGCAGAUGGAUAGUUGCUUAGCGCAGCAGUCGUACAUACGUGUGAUUAAAAAUUCAAAUGAGCGCCUUUAGAAUCGACGCAAAGCUUUGAGGCUCCGUAAUGAGGCCGAUAGAUGGAGUUUAAACAUUCGGAGCAGCUAGAAGCGCCACUUUUAUAUAAAAAAUAAAAAUAAAAAAAAGGAGAAAGUGGAGGAAGGCAAAGAAAAAAGGGUGAGAUUUGUGGCUUUGAUGCGGGGCUAUCACCGUGGGGCACGGCGGGUUGGCGGGUUGGCGGCUGGGAUCCGGAGCACUUUCACAACGUUAGCAACGCUCCCCAAGACACCAUUUCCAGCGAUCCCUCGCCAACAGUCCCGGACAAACCAGAGGGAGGGAAGCAAAUCACGUAAAUAAAAACGUGGAUGGAACUGGAGAACGGGGUGCUGAGUGGGUAAGGGAGGAAGAGGGGGGGGGGGUGAAAGAAGAGUGAUCACGGAGGUAGAGGAGGGGAACAAUGAGAGUGACAAAGAAGCGCCUGCCAUCAGUUCUCCGUACACACCCUUCAAUCAGAUACAUGUACAAACACAGACACAAUAGCGCCAGCAAAAGGGGGUUGAGGAUCUGGGACAGACGGAGGACGGUAUGAGUUCACACGGUACUGUGGGUGUGGACACACACACACACUUCUAUCUCUGGAAGCAGUGGGAGUCUAGUGCCACUUUGAACUUGCCUACCAUUAAAAGCCUGACAGAGUUUUGAAGAGGCCUAUUGAAAGGGAACCUGUGCAUUUAUGAUGUAAAUGUAUUUUUUCCAACCCUUUCUUCUUCUCCCCCCUUUUUUUAUUUUGAUAGCCUUUGAAAAUUGUCAUAUGCACAUCCAAUUUAACAGCCAGAAAAGACCCCAAACUCUUUUUUUUUUUUUUUUUUUGUUGCAACAAUCCAUUUUCAUAUCAGCUUGAAAAGGACUGGCUGAAUAUUUUUGCUUGAUUUUCUCUAAUGUGAUCAUCACUGUAUCAGUCACUCAACACGUUAUAUUCUUCUAGUGAGGUAAUUUUCUGUCAGAUUUAUUCUUCAAAGUAGGAGAAACACGCAUCUUGCAGUGCGAGCAUUGUGUAAAGCCUUCGCUUUAGUUUUCACUUCAAACUGGCUGCUUUAACCUUCCCUUUUAUUCGUGGUAUGUGCCCUCCACUGAAUGCCAGCAUUUGUAAAAACUGUCAUUGGAGUUUCUUUCAACCCUCUUAAUGCAUCAGAUGAGUGUUUUGAGUCAUAGAUGGUCUCCAUACAAUUGUCACUUUCAAGCAAAGUUUAAGACAAUGUGAGGAUCACUGCAGGUGUUGUGGUAAACCCACAUCGGCCCAGUAUCUGUAGGAUUUGCUUACAAAUGUUCACAUCGGAUGAUCUCAUGAUUUCUGUUUUCAACCUUUUUAUGUAGCAAGGCAAGAAAGUAAAGAAAUUCCCCAUAUUUUAAGCACAUGUUUUUGGGUAUGAAGCUGUUUUUGCAGUUACUUGAAAUAUAUUUCUGUCGAACUGCAGCGGUGCCAAAAGUGAGCAGGUUUUACAGAUAAACAUUUACAUGUUUCUAUGAUGUGUAUGAUCCGCCUGUUAUUGUCUGUCAGGCUCCAGUGCAGCAGAGAGUAGAUGGUUAAGAAAUGGGCACAUUUGUAGACACAAAAAAACAGGGUAUCUAUUUAAUUGCUUUAUUGUUGAUCAAUGUGUAAAAUAUUAAUUGGAUCAUGGUAAUGUCUUCAGAAUAACUUGCUUUUUUCAUUUACGACAACUUUACAAUAAAAGCUACUCACAUUUCAAAAGCCAGAUCAGAAAAUGCAGGAUUCAAAACCAUAACUAACGGCUGAAUUCACAGUGACUGUUCCCUUCUUAUUCACAGUAUCACCUUCUUUCCUGUUUAGUAGUGAACAGUAUGAUGUGCAUUCUGUCUGUUUUCGGAAAAAUGGAUGAUAAAUAAUGUAUUAUGAGACAAUAUGUGUGAAAAAAAGAAGUUCGGAAAAUACCCACAAAUAAUAAAAAUCCAUCAUCUCAACCUGAUUGAUCGCAGACACAGCGGCAGUGUAGUGUGGUGACGUUCUCUCAACAAGUGAAGCGACACUUUUUGAGCUAAGGUACCUAUUAGAGUCGAUGUGUAUCUUACUUCAGUGGCGGACCGCCCGUAGGUUGAGAAAGAUACUUUGAGCCGUAUCCUUCACUUAUCCACUGACACACACGCGCACGCUGUGUUGUUGUGCCCAUCUGUGGUUGGCUGAGUCUUAAUAAAGCCUAAUCCCUGUUGUGCAUCCUCUCUCUCUGUUCCACAACUCCUGCUGGUCGCCUGUCUCAAGAGUGUCGUAAUUUUCUGUCACAGAACUCUUCAAACCGGCCACCACGUCGAGCGCUGAGGGAGACGGGAGACUAGGUAACACAGAUCAGUGUCAAAAAAAAGGAGGAAAACAUACUCAUACUUCCCCUUCUGGGAAAGAAAAAUAAAAGUCUUAAAAAUAGUGGAGGUGGGGGUAAGAAACUGUUUUUUCAGACUCAAAACACACGCCGCAGUUCAGCCGAGCUUUGUGUAGGUUCCUCCUAAGAAGAGGAGAAAGGGAAAGGAGGAGAAAUUGCUGGGUGGUGGCUGUCAACAGUUGAAGCUGCAGCCGCCAGCACCUGGCAUCGCACGUCUCGUCUUUGAUCGCUUUCUCAGUGAAAUUCCACCACUGGAUUAAAGUGAAGGAGGGGGCAACCGGGGGCGAGAGAGAGUGACAGAGGGAAAUAUAGAGUGGACAACGUGUCUGAAAUGUAGCCUUCUGUGUGUUUUUGUGCUUUCAAUGUUGCAUGCACAGACCUGUUGGCUGUAAUUAAAAUCAACAUGAAGUUGUUAAAUUUGUCUAAAGCCAACCGACUCUAUACAACACUGACUUAGUGCUCAAGCUAUUUGCUCCCUCUUGCAAGCAGAGUGAAAAAUGUCAUUAUUAGGAUUUAGUUUGUGGCGGUAAUAUUGUACUCAUCUGCGUUUUGGAAGCCAACACAGAAGCGAAAAAAAUGUCAAUUUUGAGACAGACAAGGAAUGUGAGCUGGAAUCCAGAGUUCUGCGAUAGUAAUUCUUUUGUGUGUGACUCCGUGUGCAUACUAUCAGCAAAGAGCACUCACACAAGCUAAGUGGCAAAUAGAUAAUUACUAAAAAAAAGCUUUAUUUUUUUAGACAUAUUUUGCCUUUAUCUACCCAUCCGAUGUAUUAGGAUAUCUUGAUAUAUUUUACAUUUUUCUAUUGAUAUGUUACAUGUCUAUUUGUCAUUUAAGAUCACAAUAAAAAGUAAAAUGUAGGUUAGCCCAAUCAUUGGCUUUAAAUAUAACUUAAUAUAUUAAAAAAUAUACAUUAAUACAUUUGUCUUAUAAUUGUAAUUCCCCUAUAUUGCAAACUAAUAACUGGCGGUGCCUCCAAUAGCAUUUGAUAAAUAAUGCCUCUUAUUAAGUCUCUUUAUCUCAUAUUUGAAUGGUAUGUUUCCACCUUUAAACAGCUCUUACCAGAACAUUCUUAUACUGGACUUCAACGCAGCAAACAGACUUCAAAGGCAUUUAACAACAACAGUUUGACAUUCAUUACACAUGAACAUCAAUAGAAUAUGCCCCCCACUUUCUCACACACACGUGACAAACAAAAUCCUCGUUACAGGCCUGAGUCGUUGCUUGGGAGCGUAGAGGCUUAAAACUUGUCCAUACCGGCAAUGAACAAAAAGCAGGUGCAAGAUAGUCAGUACUCACAAAUCCCAUGCAAGAGUCAAAGGGGAAGAUGAGUGGAAGCUGGGUGACGGGACGGCAAGAAGAAACAGCAGCACGAGCUCACGCAGGAAACCGCUCGCCUCUGUGGUCCAAAGGAGUUUUCCCGAUCCUCUCUUUCCCUCAUAAAUGUCCCUUCUCCUGAAUCAGGUAACUCAGCUAAACAACAAGUCGGUCUGGCAACACUUGUCUCAACCACUGACUUCAAGGCAAAGUAUGUAGGCAUGAAAGCCAAGCUUGAAAAUGCAGUUAUUGCUCCUGGAAAUUGUUGUUAUUAACAAUAUAACAAUGUAAAGCUGUCCUGGUGUUCAUCUCAUCGGAUCUGAUUAAGUGAGGUUUUUAUCCAGAGCGACUUACAAUAAGUAAAUCAUGAGGUAGUGUUUAAAACUAAAGACAUCUGUGCUCUUUAAAUGGGUUACAAUGAAGUGCUGUGCUUUAGUUAGUUUGCCUUCCCUGUGGCCCCCUGGUCGUACGGCACACAGUGUUCUGGUGACAGCUGACAAUCACUCACUCGUCGCCCUGUGGUGUGACGUUAAAGCACCAGUUAAGGCCUUCCAUGCGAGCAUGCCAGCACAUCCAAGCUAAACUGUUGGCGAUACCGAGUUAACCCCUCGCGUGGGCGCCGUUGCUUUGAAUGGUGGGAGUGACCUUGGGUGAAGUCCUGGGAAUUCCCUCCACUUGACAGCUGGCUCUCACGCACGCCCUUGAGUUAGCACGUGCUAAUGCUGUUGGACAUGAUUGGGAAGAGAACUGCCCGGCCCGCUAAUCUGCGCUAUGUUUGCCACAAGGCUGAGCUGAGCCGUCCGUGGUCGUGCACAGGGAGGUGUUGACAGUGGUGCUACCAGUUGUUCAACCCUCCACCCGGGUGGUACCGGGAGAUGAAAGGAGCCAGAGAUUUCCCAGGUUGCCGACAACGGCAAACGGGGAGAGUCAGCGGCGGAGGGGCAGUGUAGGAUAUUAGAAACAAAUUGACGACCCGGUUCAUAAAAUUAAUAAAAAUGCAUAUAGUGUACACCAGAAUACAGCCAUGAUUCUGAAACUUAUCAAUAAAGUAAUGACAAUAUUGUAAAACCACUGUAAUUCUGCAACUGUAAUAGAAUAAUACCAAUGUGCAUUUAUGAUUGUAUUUGAUGUAAUGUAAUCAACUGGAAUGCAUGCAUGUAAUACUUGCACUAGGGGUCGUCGUGGCGCAGGGGGUAGAGCGGGUGUGCUGGGAACCGCAAGGUUGGUGGUUCGAGUCCCGAUGUCUCAAGUCGCAGUGUCCCUGAGCAAGACACCUAACCCCUAAUUGCUCCCUGGGCAAAAUGUGAAAAGCCGUGGGUUAAAAGUGUAAUGUCAGUCGCUUUGGAUAAAAGCGUCUGCUAAAUGACAUGUAAUGUAACAACAACAACUGAUAUUGACUAAGGGCCAUUCAGAAUCCGAGUUACAUUGAACUCACCAGAAGACCACUCCCAGAGGUGUGGACACUAACUUUCACACCUUUUAAGCAUUGUAUACUUUUAAGCAUUAAUACCUGUAGGAACCAUUGUUCUGGAGUUCGCUGGUGGAGACAUCAGACGGGCACUAUGGGGGGUCAAAGGACUGACCUGGGGCCUGUUGGUUGCUGAGACCAGCGGCUCCUCAUCUGAGAUUUUCACACCAUCUCUUUUAUUAAAUACAUUUGAUUUGAACCUUUUGAUCUGCGAUGACCUCUGUCCGUCCGGCGUUUCUUCAUUUUUGAAUACAACAACAGUAAGGUCAGUGCAGCUGUUUCGGCUCUGCCUGCAUCGGAAGCAGUGGGAUACCAAUAUGAUUCAGAGCAGGUUACGUGUUUAAAGUCUCAUCUUGUCCACACUCGCUAAGUGACUAACUAAGUUAGUCAUUUAGCCACGGGUAAUAAAAAGCUUAAGUGUCUGUCUUGAGACAGGCCUGCGAAACAUUGAUAUGUCAAUUAUGCCGUUCACAGACAUCAGGUUUUCUCAAGCCAAAGGACACAAACUGAAUGAUUGGAAGGGGAGAGCAAAAAAAAAAAAACAUGCAUUAUUCCAACAGUUUAACAUUCUUAUUUGUUUUAUUCAAACAAUUCAUUAUAUUAAUUAAUAUGUAUAGAACUAUAUAAAUAUUAAACAAUAGUCAUAAUAUGAUAUAUAUUAUGAUAUAUGAUAUAAUAAAUACAUUAUAUUACAAUAUAAAU